AUUUUUGCGCAGAGGCGAUAUCAUAGCCAAUGAGGUUUAUCCGAGGCGUGAUUAUUGCUAGUUGAAAACUUAUCCCAAUACCCCGCACAAGUGACGUGAAAUAUCGUUGCUUGAUGCAAUUUGUGACCGUUCUUCGGAAC
rnacentral:snRNA from 1 species